GACGAACGCUGGCGGCGUGCUUAACACAUGCAAGUCGAACGGAAAGGCCCUGCUUUUGUGGGGUGCUCGAGUGGCGAACGGGGGAGUAACACGUGAGUAACCUGCCCUUGACUUUGGGAUAACUUCAGGAAACUGGGGCUAAUACCGGAUAGGAGCUCCUGCUGCAUGGUGGUGGUUGGAAAGUUUCGGCGGUUGGGGAUGGACUCGCGGCUUAUCAGCUUGUUGGUGGGGUAGUGGCAUACCAAGGCUUUGACGGGUAGCCGGCCUGAGAGGGUGACCGGCCACAUUGGGACUGCGAUACGGCCCAGACUCCUACGGGAGGCAGCAGUGGGGAAUAUUGCACAAUGGGCGGAAGCCUGAUGCAGCAACGCCGCGUGCGGGAUGACGGCCUUCGGGUUGUAAACCGCUUUCGCCUGUGACGAAGCGUGAGUGACGGUAAUGGGUAAAGAAGCACCGGCUAACUACGUG
rnacentral:rRNA from 1 species